AAAAAACAAGGUGCAGAGUCCAGGAGCCACGUUCCCUUCGGUGUGCCUGGCCCUGGCACGGCUGGCACGGGCUCCCUGGAAAGCUGCAGUUCCGCUCUUAUAACACAGGGAGCAGGCUGGAGAAUUUAGAGCUGCGUCACAGAGCUCAGCGAGAGAGUGAGAGAGAGCAAGCUCCGUCGAUAGGUUCUACCAGCAACAGCCCUGCUGCAGCAGGAAGGGGAGAGAGGCAGCAAGAGAGGCAGAGAGGGCUCCGGCGAGAGAAGUCACACCAAGACCAGGGGACCGGGCUGCUGCCACCAGCCACCGUCGGCGGGAGGUGGGAGCGGGGCUCGCCCGGCGUAGGAGGUUGCACCCAUUUGGCGAUGCUGGAGACCCGGCGCGUUUAAUCCCACGGGGAGGGAGAGUGGGCAGACGCCGCAAGGGUUAACGGCAAGGAAAUUUCUGGAACCUUCUCUUCUGCGGCGCCAGCCGGCGAGCGGAGGGCUGAGGACUGCGCAGCUGGGGCACGGGCAGAGCUCUCCGGUCCGGUUCGGCUUCCCCACCGACCAGCAAUGAAGAUGGCAGCUCUGCCUGGAAGUGCCGAGGACACAACCAGCUUUGAGCUUGGUCCUUCUUGGCCGAGGAAGUCUCUUCCCGAUUAAGCAGUGGAGUGAUUCCGUAGGGAAUUUCAGACUCUCACUGCAGUCGUCACAACCCCUCCUGACUCACUGAGCCUCGCUGGCUGGAGCUGGCUCCCUUGGAGCAUCCUUGCCUCCUGCAGCGCCAGUUCCGCAGAGCAGGGGAACAACAGGAAUAGCAGCAACACCGGUGGGCCCUGCAGCAAGAUGGACAGGCAUAAACACACACACACACAGAGGAACAGUGCGAGGCAGCCAUGGAGGGGGUGAUACAGCUGACAGAGCAACUUCCAUCAUGACAGGCAGAUUUCCCUGCUGAUGCUGAGUGAUGGGAAGCCACAACACCCUCUGCCUUGGACAGAAUGAGGUUUAGAGCUUGGCUCCAUCUGCCAUGACAUGGAAAAAAGUGCUCCUGUACCACACAGCCUUCCCCUCCCCCUCUCUCAUCAUCCUCUGCACUAAAGAGAAGUCACAGACCUGUGUCACUACUUGCUGGUACGGUGGAGGUGAAGGAUUUUCUCUCCCAGCCUGCAGCCAUGCACACAAGAUGUGUCUUCCUCUGGAAGCUGGUUUCACAUGGUGGCUUAGAUUUUCCCACUUUGUAUCUAGCACCAUUUGAAAUCAGUGUUCUAGGAGCAAGAAUUACAGCGUGGGAGGAGAUCAAGCAGCUGCCAACCUCACCGACGGCCUCCACUCCUUACCCCCAGCCCUUUCCCCCCCCAGUGGUUAUUCCUUUGCCAGCCAGCCACUCUGUAAACAUCACCUGAUUUCUAGACACUUCUACCAAGCACUGUAAUCACCCUCUUCCCCAAGCUAGGGCCAGCCACAGGAACAGCUUCUUGCCAAUGUAUUGCUGCUCAAUAAACAAUGGAUAUUGAGUUCAAGGUGUCCAGAGUUAAAGUGAUCCGAAAGUUGCAUGAAAACCCAACCCUGUGCCUCCUGACAGGCAGAGUGCACUCAGCACACAGCCACCAGCUUCCCAACACUUCCAAAUGAACUACCUGGGAGCAGAUCUAUUUCUCUUUGGGGGCUCUAUCACCCUCACAGAACCACCACCCCACAGCUCCCAGAGAUGAGAAGCUGCCCUCCAAAGCACCUCAAGAGAAGCGCCUUCAGCGGUCACCACGAUGUGCCCCCUGCUCCACACAGAACCCACUCCUCCUCCUGGGGGGGACUUCAGUUUCUUUGCUGGUAACUUCUUUAACGUUUCAGGAAGUUCCUCUUCCCUUCUGUGCAAACCCUUGAAGCUAACCUAGUUUUGCUUGAGCUCACUGCUGUCAAACAAGUCCUCAGGCACAGAGGAGCCGGUCGCUGUGUGGACGAAGGCCUUGGCCAGAGCACUGCAGAGUCAUCUGUACAGAAUUCCUAGCUGCCAUCUACAAGAGGACUCUUCUCUGAGCCAGGAAAAUGUCUCUUACACAGGCUGACCGAUUUCUCCUGGUGUUCAGAGUCUCAGUUUUUGUCUAGCACCAUUUGAAAUCGGUUAUGAUGUAGGGGGAAAAGCAACAGUAAUGGAAACCUUCCUCCCCCC